UACGUAGGUGGCAAGCGUUGUCCGGAUUUAUUGGGUUUAAAGGGUGCGUAGGCGGCUUUGCAAGUCAGUGGUGAAAUCCGGCAGCUUAACUGUCGAUGUGCCAUUGAUACUGCAGGACUUGAGUACAGACGAGGUAGGCGGAAUUGACGGUGUAGCGGUGAAAUGCUUAGAUAUCGUCAAGAACACCGAUAGCGAAGGCAGCUUACUAGACUGUAACUGACGCUGAUGCACGAAAGUGUGGGGAUCAAACAGG
rnacentral:rRNA from 1 species